GUCGUCAACCAUAUCGUGUUGAAAGAACCGAUUCUCGUUUAAUCACCAAAGUUAAGCAGUGUUGUGUCCAGUCAGUACUUGGAUGUACGAAUGACUGGGAGCACCGGGUGUUGCUGGAU
rnacentral:rRNA from 1 species